rnacentral:rRNA from 1 species
UGGGGAAUUUUGGACAAUGGGCGAAAGCCUGAUCCAGCAAUGCCGCGUGUGUGAAGAAGGCCUUCGGGUUGUAAAGCACUUUUGUCCGGAAAGAAAUCCUUGGCUCUAAUACAGUCGGGGGAUGACGGUACCGGAAGAAUAAGCACCGGCUAACUACGUGCCAGCAGCCGCGGUAAUACGUAGGGUGCAAGCGUUAAUCGGAAUUACUGGGCGUAAAGCGUGCGCAGGCGGUUUGCUAAGACCGAUGUGAAAUCCCCGGGCUCAACCUGGGAACUGCAUUGGUGACUGGCAGGCUAGAGUAUGGCAGAGGGGGGUAGAAUUCCACGUGUAGCAGUGAAAUGCGUAGAGAUGUGGAGGAAUACCGAUGGCGAAGGCAGCCCCCUGGGCCAAUACUGACGCUCAUGCACGAAAAGCGUGGGGAGCAAAACAGGAUUAGAUACCCUGGUAGUCCACGCCCUAAAACGAUGUCAACUAGUUGUUGGGGAUUCAUUUCCUUAGUAACGUAGCUAACGCGUGAAGUUGACCGCCUGGGGAGUACGGUCGUAAGAUUAAAACUUAAAGGAAUUGACGGGGUCAUAGCUGUUUCCU